rnacentral:rRNA from 1 species
UACGUAGGGUGCGAGCGUUGUCCGGAAUUAUUGGGCGUAAAGAGCUCGUAGGCGGUCUGUCGCGUCGAUCGUGAAAACUUGGGGCUUAACCCUGAGCUUGCGGUCGAUACGGGCAUGACUGGAGUUCGGCAGGGGAGACUGGAAUUCCUGGUGUAGCGGUGAAAUGCGCAGAUAUCAGGAGGAACACCGGUGGCGAAGGCGGGUCUCUGGGCCGAUACUGACGCUGAGGAGCGAAAGCGUGGGGAGCGAACAGGG